rnacentral:lncRNA from 1 species
CGAAGACACGCAGACCCAGCCCAGCCCAGGAUUCUAGUGGCAACAGCGCCCCCUAAGGACAAGGCAGAGCAGGGGAGGCUCUCCUCCCCAAGGUCAACUUCAAGGUCAGGGAUGCUCUGCUAGGAAGGCGAGCAAAGGAAAAAAGCUCAUCUCCUCUGCAAAGAAAUCCAAGUGGUGGACAAGCCUAUGAGAAGGGAAAAAUAAAUAAACUUCACCAGGAAGCAAAGGUGUUCCAAACAAAACAAGACACUAUUUUUUUACCUAUGGAAUCACCCCCAAGGGUAAUAACAGCUGCGGACGUUAACUUGGUAUCACAUGUCUAAAGGAUAAGUUUGAAAGAUGCCUCAGAGAACUUAGGAACAGGGAUAUCAUUUUAAGGAUGCCGUCUCUAGCUGCUGAUCCUAGAGUAAUCUAUGCAGGUGUAAAAGAUUUUAUACAAAAGUGUACAUUGCAUCGUUCUUUAUUAUCGUGAAAACCUGGGGUAAACAUAUCCAAAACUGAAUAGAAGACUGUGGUAUUCCACAAAAUGCAAUAUUAAUCAGCCAUUAAAAUAUAAACCUCAGGACUCAGGGUGCAGCUCAGAGGUAGAACACUUGCCUGGCAUGCAUGAGAUUCUGGCUCCAUCCCCAGCACGGCAAGAAUAAAAAAAUAAAAAAACACAGCUGGAUGUGGUGGUGCAUGCCUAUAAUCCUCAGGAGGCUGAGGCAGGAGGAUCUUGAGUUCAAAACCAGUCUCAGAAACUUAGCGAGACCCUAAGCAACUUAGCGAGAACUUGUCUCUAAAUAUAAAAAGGGGCAGAGGAUGUGGCUCUGUAGUUAAGUGCCCCUCAGUUUAAUUACUAGUACCAAAAUAAUAAUAAUAAUAAUAAAUUAAAAGCACAAAUAAAUAAAUUUUCUACAAAUCUAAAUACACACUUGGAAAUAAACAAAAAUGUUAACAAUGUUUAUUUGAGCUGCAGGUUUAAGAGAAAUGUUCUGUUGUUUUUCUAUAUUUUCUAAAUAUACCACAACAAAUAUGUGUUCACGUUACUGAUUGAAUGAUUGAUUGAUGGUGGUGCUGGGGAUGGAACCCAGGGCCUUGGGCAUGCUAGGCAAGUACUCUACCACUGAGCUACACCCCUAGCCCCAUGAAUAUAUAUUAUUUAUAUAUUUUUAUAUAUUAUUUAUACAUAUUAUAUAUUAUUAAUAUAUAUUAUAUAUAUUAUUUAUAUCUAUUAUGUAUAUUAUUUAUAUAUAUAUUUUUUUUUAACUGGAAAUUAACCCAGGGGCACUUUACUGUCCCAGUCCUUUUUAUUUUAAUUUUGAGACAGGGGCUCACUAAGUUGCUAAAGGUGUUGCUAAAUUGCUGAGGCUGGCCUCGAACUUGUGGUCCUCCCAAGGCACUGGGAUUACAGACAUGCGCCACUGCACCCAGCCCCAUGUAAUAAUUUUUAUAUAUGUAUAAAGGAAGCCAGGUGUGAUGGGGAAGGUCUAUAAUCCCAGCGACUUGGGAGGUGAGGCUAAGGCAGGAUGAUGGCAAGUUCAAGGCCAGCCUGGGCAACUGAGUGAGACCUGUCUCAAAAUUAGAAAUUUAAAAAGAGCUGAGGAUGCAGCUCAGUGGUACAGGCCCCUGGGUUCAAUCCCAGUCUCUCUCUCUCUCUCUCUCUCUCUCUCUCUCUCUCUCUCUCACACACACACACACACACACACAGUAGAAAGGUGCAUACAAGAAAGAUUUAGACUUUUAAAAAUAUAUAUGUUAGGGAUGUGCAAUACUAUCCCUUGGAGAACCCAUGGAAAAUCACCCACAAUAGGUGAUUCCCAAGCUGGGGGUUGCCCAGACUUUUAUAGUCAAAACGCUUAACAGAAUUAUCCUUUUGCCAUUCGAGAGCCCAGAGGUCAUGGGAGUUGCAGCCAGGACCCUCUUGCCCAGUUUGCAGUUGGUGAUGCUUCUCCAUUCUACAUGAAUUUGGGUUUUUCUCUUAAAGGAUUAUUUAAUUACGGCGGCUGGUUUGUGGUGCUGAUCUUUCACAUCACGGCAUUCUGCGGGGAGAACAUUAGAAGGCACUGUGGGGACAAGAUGUCUGAAGACUUGCUGAGCUAUGGGACUCUCCCUCCUGCCACCUCCAAAACAUAUUUCUGCAUUAGGGUCCACAGGGCAGCCCCCCUGAAGAGCCAGUGGUGCUGUGGGCAGUUCCUAAGGUGUAUGGAGUGGGAAGCUCCAGGUGUCACCAAGCCCAGCUGCUACCUACUACGCAGCUGUGUGACCUGAGACAAUCCAGAGACCCUCUCUAAACUUCCAUUUCAUUUCCCCCUAGAAAAUGUGUGUGUGUGUGUGUGUGUGUGUGUGUGUGAGAGAGAGAGAGAGAGAGAGAGAGAGAGAGAGAGAGAGAGAUGACGUCUGCCCUGACCACCUUGCUCACUCUAGAAAUAUCUAGCAUAUUCUACAGUCUGGAAAAGUUGGGGCACUGGGAUGAUCUUGGUCAUGAAUUCCCAGGUGCACCUUUUUAGCCCUGCCAUGUGUGAACUUGGUGGCUUGGGUCAUUCACGCAUGCAUGGCAGAGUUGCAAGCAGAGUAAAACAGGGCCACCCUGGCUCUUUCCCACCCCCUGCACAAUCACGGCAAGUGGACAAGCUUCCUGACUUUCUGGUGUCGGCAGGUAUUGCCUCCCUUGCCCCUGCCUACUCCCUCCUUAAAGCAAGAGCCACCUGUUGCCACCAGGUACAGUGUAGUGCAUUGAAUAGUGUCCCCCCACACACACCAUCCCAUAAAAUGUGUUCACAUCCUAAACCCAGGUAGCUGUGAAUGUGACUUUGUUUGAAAAUAAGGUCUUUGCAGGUGUAAUUAAGUUAAGGAUUUCAAGAUCAGAUUUAGGGUGGGCCCUAAAUUCAAACACUUGUGUUCUUACAAGAGGACACCGUUCCCAUCUCAUUAAAUCUACUAUAAACUUUUUAUUCAUCCUGCCUUUUCAGAACCCUGGCCAAGGUGGAGCUAGAGAGAGAUUUCAGGAGAAGACUGAAGGCAGAGAUUGGAGUGACGUUUCCAUGAACAAAGGAACACCAAGGAGUCACCAGACACUGUAAAAGACAAAGAGCCCUUGAGGGAAUAUGACACUAGAGAGACCUCAAUUUCAGAUUUCCGGCCUCCACAAUUUAAGAGAAUAAAAAAAUCCUGGUUUGUUUUUUUUUUUAAGC